UACAUGUGGGGCAAGCGUUGUUCGGAAUUACUGGGCAUAAAGGGUGCGUAGGUGGCCUGUUAAGUCAGAGGUGAAAUCCGGUGGCCCAACCAUCGAACUGCCUUUGAUACUGGCGGGCUGGAGUGCGUAAGGGGUGACUGGAACGCGUGGUGUAGCGGUGAAAUGCGUAGAUAUCACGCGGAAGGCCAACGGCGAAGGCAAGUCACUGGUACGCAACUGACACUGAGGCACGAAAGCGUGGGGAUCAAACAGG
rnacentral:rRNA from 1 species